rnacentral:tRNA from 1 species
AAAGGGAGACCUAAUUCAGGUAGGAGACGAAAAAAUAGUAGUCGAAACCAAGAAUCAAUCCCAAAAGGUCGGAACGAGGUAUGUGGCUUUCAAACUAGGUUCUGGGUUCACACAAGACCUGAAUCAGGAACAAGGGCUAUUAGCUCAGGUGGUUAGAGCGCACCCCUGAUAAGGGUGAGGUCCCUGGUUCGAGUCCAGGAUGGCCCACCUGCACAGGUGGCAAAAACAAGAGAAGCGAGGAAUCAGCACCUUAUCUUACUUAUAUAGUAAGAGAGAAUGCUGGCUCUGAGUAAAGAGUCCAGAGGAACCUUGAAAACUGCAUAGAGCUAGGUGAAAAAGCCAAAAAAGAAGACCGCAAG